UAGCAGAGAAUACAAAUGCCUGAGG
rnacentral:piRNA from 1 species